UACGAAGGGUGCAAGCGUUACUCAGAAUUACUGGGCGUAAAGCGUGCGUAGGUGGUGCGUUAAGUCUGUCGUGAAAGCCCCGGGCUCGACCUGGGAAUGGCGAUGGAUACUGGCGCGCUAGAGUGCGGUAGAGGAGAGUGGAAUUCCCGGUGUAGCAGUGAAAUGCGUAGAGAUCGGGAGGAACAUCAGUUGCGAAGGCGGCUCUCUGGACCAGCACUGACACUGAGGCACGAAAGCGUGGGGAGCAAACAGG
rnacentral:rRNA from 1 species